rnacentral:rRNA from 1 species
GAUGAACGCUGGCGGCGUGCUUAACACAUGCAAGUCGAACGAGAAUCAACGGAUUGAGGAUUCGUCCAAAUGAAGUUGAGGAAAGUGGCGGACGGGUGAGUAACACGUGAGGAACCUGCCCUGGAGUGGGGGACAACAGUGAGAAAUUGGUACUAAUACCCCAUAACAUCAGGACCGGCAUCGGUUCUGGUUGAAAACUCCGGUGGUUAUGGAUGGGCAUGCGUUGUAUUAGCUGGUUGGUGAGGUAACGGCUCACCAAGGCAACGAUACAUAGGGGGACUGAGAGGUUAACCCCCCACAUUGGUACUGAGACACGGACCAA